CUGAAUCAUUACAACACACACACACAAUACACGCUCUAUUUUCAGAACAGACUUUUUAUGUAUAGUUUUUUUUUUUGUCAAUGGCAUUUCAUAUGCAAAGCAUGCAUCAGCCACAACGAGGCUAUCUCUGAGCCUAGUCAUUCCGAAACCUGAUCUGGGAGAAAGUGCAGACUAAAUACAAUUUCAUUUUGACUUGGCCUCCCGCUGAGAAUGGGACUGCUUUGUUUCAGCCAACAGAAGCAGCAAGCCAGAAAGGUAUGUCCUGUUUUGCAUGGCCGAUGUGUGACUUAAGGAUCACAAUCUUGCUGUUCAUGCUUCCAGGACUCGAUACCAAGUCCAUAUCCUGUGCUUUCAUUCCUAUACCCUUUGCAUUCGCUUUCCUUCUGUGCUGACUGCUGACUGCUGACUGCUGUCUACCUGCAGGGCAGAGCAAUGGCAGACUCUGGGACAAUUGUUUGCUUUGGCGUAUGUCUAAUAACUGCAUAAUUGCUUGGGAUGUUGUUUUUCUACUGUUUCUCCUAUUUAUUCUGCCCCUUCCUUUCGGAUCUUAUUUUUAGAUGCUUAUGCCAACUGAAAAUUUCAAUGAACACAGAGCAAUCUCUAAACUGAAUAUAUAUAUAUAUGGUUUAGUAUAAUAUCUGAUUGUAGAUCAUUUUAGAGAAUUGUAACAUACAAAUUUUAUUUUUUUAUAAAAUUAUAUUAUUUUAUAUAAUUCAUGUUAAUGAUUAGUAAUUAAAAUUAUUUUGACAUUCAAGAGGAAAACAUUGAACACAAUGUUAAAAUAUUUAAAAUCUGUUCUAUAUUAAUGAUUAAAUAAAAAAAAAUUGAUUACUGCAGAACCAAUUGCAUUUUAUUCAUUUAAUUAUUUUUUAUUCCCCCCCCCCCCCAGAAAUAGACCAUUUGAAUCUUAUAACAAUAAUAAAAAAAUAAAAAAAAUUAUUAAUGUAGUGCAAACUAGGAUUUAUACAGUUAAAUGCUGUCUGCAGAUGGGAUGUAAAUAAUUCAGUGUCAUGAUUCUUAUUGGAAAAAAUCCCAUAACGGAAAUAGUGUUUUGUAAUCUUUGGAAGACUGGUAGAAAAGAAAACCAGACAAUUUAAAUGUGCUACUCUGUUAUUGUUUGCUUGUUUUUUUUUUUUUCCUCUACACAUUGCAUUUUCUCAAUACAAUGUUCCUUUAAACCCUUACUCUUCCAACUUGAUGAAAGACCAUAAGUAUUUAGUAACAUGGUUGUGGACAUGGGUGGAAAGUUUGAUUCACACGUGUGGUUUUCAUUUCACUUUAAAACAUUGCAAUAUGAUUUACCUUGCGUUAAAUAUAUAUCAAAGAAAUGUGUGUGAGUUUAUCCUUGUGAGAGAAUGUGUGUGCAUAAAAAACACUCAUUUGUGUAUGCGUAAUAUUAACAUAAAUAAACAUGUAUGUGUGCAUAUAGACCUAGAUAGAUGACAGAAAUGUGCAUUUAAUUUUAUUUAAUCUAAAAUAUCGUAAUACAUUAGACAGAUAGAUAGAUAGACAGAUAGAUAGAUAGAUAGAUAGAUAGAUUGAUAGAUUCUAAUAAACAAAGUGUAUUUUCUUCAUUAAGUAACAUUCUUGAGUGGAGAUUCAGCUUGCAACAUUUUAUCUAAAAUAACUGAGCUUUAUUUAAUUUUUUCCAUCACAGCCAGUUCAAAGAUUUUUUCCUGCCUGGCUGUUUUGUUAUAUCUUUUGUCACUUAUGAUGUCACAAAAUAAAAUAUUUAGUUAACAGAGCACAUGCAUGAUAUAUAAUAACAUAUUGCUAUGUUAUUGGCUAGUAAUAUUUGAUUACAAUUAUAAAUAUGAUUGUAACACAUUUUUUUUUUAUUGAAAUUUUAUACAAGUAUUUUAAUUUUGUGGUUACUUUCUAAAUAGUAAACAGAUGCACAUAGAUAAAUUGUAUACUGAUGUUAGUGAAAGCAACAAGAAAGUGAAAAUAGCCAGUAAAUUAUACAUUGUUUGUAGUAUUACAUUGUCACAUAUUUAAAAAAAAAUAAUUAUACAUAUAAUACACCAACUUUUACAUAGUAAACAAAACAUAACUAAUAUAGAAGAAAAUGAUCAUAUACAGCUGAACACAUUAUAUUGAUUUGUAAAUGAUAAUGUUCCUAAAUGAUGCUUACUGUAUUUUAACCUUUUGACUGCCAGAUUGUGAGAAAGUACAUUGAGUGCAGUAAUAGACCAUUGAAAACAAAACAAAUUCCAUUAAAAUUGUUGAUAGCACCAUGAAUUUAAUUUACUUGUAUGCAAAAAAUAGAUUGUUAAAAUAGUACACCUGUUGAAAAAUGAAUACCACUUGCCAUUCUAAAAAUACUUAACGUUCUGCAUUUAACAUCAACAAAAAUUUUGGCACUUGAGUUUAUUUAAAAAUCUUAGUUCACUCAUUAUUAAUUGUAAUGCUAACAACAAAUAAAAUAGAAUAGGGAGACAGACAUAUGUACACUGAUAACAAAACAAGAUGAAGGUAUUGCAUCUUGUGACAUUUGAUUUCAAAUGACACACUGGGCACCAUAACAACGUUAUUGUUAUGAAGUUGUUAUGGUGCCCAGUAUGGUCCUUUAGGUUUUCAAGUGGGUGGUGGUAAUUCAAUACUUCCUGAAUGUACACAAAGCGUUAAUCCUGCCCCACAUUACAGGCAUUUGAUAUAUAUAUAUGAUGAUAUAGAACGAUAGUUAGAUCACUAUGUAUGAUGUAUUCAUUCCAUCUAAGAAGUAAACAUUCAAAUCUCUCUGAUGCCAGCUGAGCCUGGAACACCAUCUGCUAUUAAAGAGUUAAUACACCGAUGAAGAGCUGAGCUCCGCAGUACACACUGUUAAGUUCUUUGCUUUUCAGUCAACAGUGCGAAUCUGUUCCUGAACACUAAGUAAAUGGAAGUCACUAAGAGGAGCUGAAGGCCAGAAGUUAACUAGCAUUUUGUAUCGAAUGAUACUUAUGUGAUGAAAAGUUCAUAUAGAGGAAAUUAUUACAAUGAGAGAUAUUGCCUGUUACGUUUCUUAACCUUCUCUUACUUUUUAAAUGGGCACUUAUUUAUGCACUAGGAAAAAUCUAUAAUUAGAAUAAAAUUACUAUAUUCUUAUACAUGUAUGGUUUUUUUCCAGAGCACUUAAAUACUGUAUAUAAAGUUGUCAUCACAUUUUAGAAUAGUUCCUUAACUUUCUCCUGAGUGUACAUCUAGUCCUAGACAUGCUCUGAUCACACUCACUGACCAUUUAGCAGAACUAAGUUUACAGAUUUUCAGUAUAUUUUUUGGCUGUUUUGUACGUUGUUUUUUUUUAUAUAUAUAUAUAUAUAUAUAUAUAUAUAUAUAUAUAUAUAUAUAUAUAUAUAUAUAUUUUGCAACGGUUAUUUAUUUUUCACUUACCUGAAAAUUUUUAUAUAUAUACAAAGGGGUGAAGACUAAGAAAUACAUCAUUAUACUUGUGAUUUCACCUUAUAUAUUAUAUAUUUUAGAUAUAAUUAUUAAAUAUGACAUGGAGACAUGGAAUAAAACCUUUCAAUGAAGGUCUCUGAGAUGAAAUUAAAGGCUAGUUUAUAUAUGCUACGGACUGUAUAUUUAGUACUUUACAUCUACAUUGUGACAAAUAUGUGUUGUCACGUGUCAUCAUAUCUCACCUGUCAUCAUAUCUCCAUUAAAUAACUAACGAGUGACAGCAGGAAGGUGCACUUGAAACCGGGAUCCACAUCUUAGAAGGCCCAAAAACUCUGAGACCCCCUGCAAUCUAGCUUUUGAAUGUCUAUUAGGGACAUUCAGGAAAUCUGUGCAUUUGUUGAUAUUUCAAACUACUACUACCAACUGAUUGUAACUAAAUGCGGUGUCAUAUGUGUAUAUAUAUUAAAUUUUUGCCAUAUUGGGCCCAUGAAUAGCUUACACCAAAUAAGAUAAUAAAACCUAUUAAUUACAUAGACCUCAUGCUUCAUUACUUAAACUACUUGGGACUGGAUAAUCCCAAACCGUAACUUUGGCUAAAUAAAUAUUAAUGGGCAGAUAUAUUUUGUGUGCACCAUAUUCUGUUAUUGUUUAACAUAUUAUCACUAACUGCAGAAAAUGUCUUAUAACACCAGCUAGGAUUAUACAGUCAAACAUGAGUAAGGCAAUUCUGAUUGUAUCUGCUGUAUAGUCAAAAGUCACUCACCCUGCUUCUCGUACCUAUCGGGUCAUACAUGCAGGAGACAAUUUUUUUUUUUUUUACUUUAUCACUUUGUUGCUUAUUCCUGAAACAAUGAUGAAAAACACAUUUAUUGAAAACCCCAUAGGUUUUAUUUACGACUCAGCAAAUUGUAGUGAAUUGAAGAUUGAAUUCCAAAAUUGAGGCCAAAAUAUUUGCUCAAGUUCUUUACAACUUUGGCCUCUAUGUAAUUAGAGUAAAUAAAAACUUUCCAAAUUAUCAAAUUAUUUAUCUACAAAGCUUGCCAUAUGCUUUAAUUGUAACUUUAUUUGAAAAAUCGUUUUAACUGUACUGAAACAUUUGGAAAGCUUAUUAAAUUGAGGCCUUUGUUAUUUUGGCCUAAAUUUUACAAUAUGAUAUUUAAUUAAGAAUAAUGCACUGCUUAGUAAAUAAACCCCACAGAGUUAUUUAGUAAGCUGUUAAAUGUUGGACACUGACUACCAUUGUCAAUAAAUGUGUAAUGAAAAAAAAUCUUUUUUUUUUUUUUUUUUACUCCAGUUAAGUGAUUUGGCCUUUAAAUUAAAAUUCAAUCAUCAGUUCCAAAAUGUUCUUGGUUUGGAGAAUAGCUCUGCUAAUACAUAAAUCGUAAAAAGGAAAUGUGAACAUACAUGCUCAAGAAUCUUAAAGGAAAUAUGUUUAACAGCGUAAAUCUACAAUCUGUGUUAAAUCGUUCAGCAUAGUGUAGUAGAUAUUUAUUCAUUUCCUGCAGUUGAACAUAUUUUUUUAAUGAUGUAGAUUAAACAUAUUAAACAUGGAUCUGUCAUGUUCCCAAAUCUUACUUUUUUAUGUCAUAAUACUUAAAAGUGUAAUAGUGUAAAUAUACACAUAUACACAUCAACUGUACUCUGGAAGUAGUUUAGGCCACCCAAGAAAAUUGCAUUUUAAGCUAAUUAUCUGGGUAAUUGUUUAUUUCUUCAGACAAAAAAAUAACCAUUUGAAUAUGUAAAAAUGAGCUUUAUGACUAUAAAAAGUUACUAAUAACAUAUUAUGUUUCAGACCAGCAAUUUGUUAAAUUCCACGCACACACCUGAUUUUACUCAAUGUGGUAUUGAUUAGACGAAAUAGGUGAGCGUUUGGUGGAAUUUAACUAACACGAUCCAUGGAAUGAAUGUGUGCCUUGAGGAGAUGUUUGUAAAUGGCUAAGCUAACAUAGUUUGACAGACAGAAAAUCAUAGUUUGGCAUCAACAAGGCAAUCUCAGUGAGCAAAAGCCUGCCUAACCGGAUUUUCAAGAUGUUACGAUCAAGCUGUCAAAAGGAAAUUUAAAAAAAAAAACUUUGCAAGUUAACAAAAAUGCAGUGGAAGACUAAAAAGCCGCUUGAAUCUGAUGAACAUUACUUGAAAGUCAAUACAAUGCGAGACAAAACGAAAGCCAGUGAAGUGUUUGCUCAGUAUAUGGCAGGUAGUGUGGUACCAAGGCAUAUUCUUUCAUCAUAAGACAGAUGAUGGUGGAAAUUUGUAUUGAAUAGUAUAUUCAAAUUUAACAUUGUUGGAUAAAAAAAUGAAUAAAAAAGCUAAAUAUUCCAAAAAAAUAUUUGCUGUUUGCACAUUUUUAAUGGUAAUUUUCACCAUGUGAUUUACAACAGUCAAGCAUAUUGUAUUAUUUUUAGACCACCUCGGAUUUGAAACUUAUAUAUCUGUCCGUCCGUCUAUUCACCCAUUCAUCUAGUCAUCCAUCCAUCUAUCCAUCCAUUUCUCUCCCAGGCUUUUUAUGUCUCUUUGAUUAGCAAGAUAAUUUUUUAGAUGAUUUAUGUGGGUAAUAAUUAGGAGCACUAGGUAAUGAGACUGUACUACACAUACAUCAAAGACAAGUUCACAUUCACAAAGUCAGUGAGAUUGUUAGUUUUAGUUACUAGUUAGUUACUUUGUCACUGCAUAAUUCAAUGACUUGUAGGUUAAAUAUUGUUUUAAUCUUAAUUACACUGGUUAUAAUAGAAGUGUGGUUUGCCAUGGCCUUCAGGGUCCUCCCUCACAUGAUCACCUAUAGCAAAAAUGAGGUCUUGAAUGCAGAUACAUACUGCCUCUGUUGAAUGUUUCCACAAGUCAUUCUCUCAUGUGAUAGAUUUUUAUGAUGGUCUUUGGGUACUAUUUACCUUGGGUAACGAAUUCAUCCUUACAUAGAAAUGUUUAUGAUGUUAUUUACCGUCCUGACAGAAAUAGUUGUGCCCAUCUGCAACCAUACACCCAGAUACCUGAUAAACCCAGCAUUUCUAGGGAUGCCGGCCUCUACGGAUCUUUGUCACUUUAUAGCCCUACGGCCACCCACGUUGAUGACAACAUUUUGGGGUCAAAGGUCUAUUACAACCAAUCGGAUAAACAGUAGGGUUAUUUAAACUCAUUUUUACAUUCUCUCAUUGCCCUGUUGUGGUUUCUGCCUGAUGGUAAUCCGAGAGUGCAUUCCUGAUCUUGAUAUUUUGGUAUUUGACUUUGCCUUCGUUCUGACGUUCUGACCCUGAUUUCUGGUAUCCUUGACUUUUGGCUUUCCCUCAUUGUUGUGUCUGAUUCUGUAUCUCUGACCUUGGCAAAGUAUUCUGACUAUUCUUGGAUAUGUUAAGUCCGGCCACCCUAAGGUCCGGUUAGACGUUAUCCUUAGUCCUAGGUGUGAUACAAUUCUGCGUGCUGGAUCAAUUAGUAAUCCUAACACCGUGAUGGGGUUUAGACCUACUUAGAGUCAGUCUUCGGACCGUGAUUGAUUAUAUCAUAGCUCUAAGGUAUUUCACAACAAGAAAAAAAGAACAAAAUGCAUCCAGAGAUGUGGCAAAUUCUGCAGGACAGAUAGAAGAUUUUCUACAGGGCAAUUUAUAAAAAGACCCAACACUGCUACUGAACCAAAAUAAAUUUCUAAAACAGUGUCACUGAACAGUGCUACUUUUCCAUUUAUAAAAAAAAAAUCAUACAAUGCUGACUUAUUCUAAAACAAAAAGUAUUACUUUUCAUGAUUCUAAUGUUACUUGCAGAUAUUUAUUAUAAUAUAGUUUAAAAGAUUUUGGAAUGUUUUGUGCUGUGUAAUAUUUUUGUUCAGCAAUAAUUAUAGAACUAAAAUAUAUCAACAUAAUGUCACUUUAACCAUAUUAUUAUUAUUAUUUGUAUAAUUUGAUCAUGUCACUUUAAAAACACUUUUUUUUUUUCCAAGUGUAAAUUAAAACCUUAAUUUCCAUUAAUUAAUGUUGUAGCCCAUGUUUUUUUCUGGCACCAUUGUGUUUUUUUUUAGAACUGGUGGCUGAAAUUGCCCUACAUCUUCAAGGUGGGGUAGUAUCAUUGAUAAUCCUGCCCUAAUGUGUUUUAUUACCCACCUCAUAUAGACUGUAAGCUUGUUUAAGAAGGAACUUCUUCAACCUAUCAUUCCUGUAAGUUUUCUUGUAAUUGUCCUAUUUAUAGCUAAAUCACCCCCUCUCAUAAUAUUGUAAAGCGCUACGGAAUCUGUUGGCGCUAUAUAAAUGGCGAGAAUAAUAAUAAUAAUAAUAAUAAUAAAUAUCAUCUUAAUUUAAAAAAGCUAAAAAAAAUAUUAUUUUCUCAAAAGGUCUCCAUGUGCAUCCCAAGUGUGUACAGGUGCUUGUUAAUCAAUAUUUACAGUAAUAUUUACUCAAGUGAAAUAUCAAAGUGAAUUCAUUUUGAAUUUCAAAUUUAAGACCAAAAUAGCUGAAGUGACACCACAGUUGUCAUCAGAUUCAAGUAAGUUUUCCAGUUUGGGUGUUUUUUAUUUAAAUUUGAAAUUCACUUUGAAUUCUCACUUUAGUGAAUAACUCUGAUAAUGUAAGAUGUACUAAAAGUACUACUUAAUCUAGAGUAUACCCAAAAACAAAAAAAUGGAAUGCACGCAAUAGAUUAAUUCUCAAUGUAAUAAAGUUACAAAGUCACUUUAUUUUAUCUGUUUCUGUGACAUGGCAAUGCCUCAGUGUUUGGAUGAGAACACACUGCUAGCCACUUUGUCUUACAGCCACUAGAGGUGCUUUUUACUUUAAGACCUUCAAAUUAUGAAGGUCUUCACAUUCAGCAAGUGCAAUCAUUCACAGCAUGAUGAUACUGAAUGAUAUUAAUGCUUUAUCAGGGGGCAUAAUCUAAAUAAAAAGGGAACACAUCUAAUGUAGAAAUAAAUAUAUGUAUUUUUAACAUUAAAGUGUUACUUUAAAAACAGGUGUCCAUGAAUGUUACCUGACAAGAAAUGGAAAUUUCAUUAAAAAAAAGAUAUGUGUGAGUUGUGCUUGUCUUUGAAUAGAAACAUGUUUGAAUAUAUUGCUUUUCUGGCUUAUACUGACAAAUGAUGAACUAAAUUGUCUUCUGAAUUCCAUUUUCUGCAAAAAUAAUUCCUGAAUUUAAUGAAAGCAGAUAAUGUAUUAUACAAAAAUGCAUAAGCUAUUGAUUUUACAGUUGUAUUCCUUUUGAUAUUCUAUUCAGAAGAGCUCAUAUCUCUAUUAUGAUUUCAAAUUGUGAUUGAUAUUUUUUUGCUAAUAUGCAAAAUUUGUGGUAUUUCGUUUUUUGUUUUUUUUUGCUUUGCUUGCUUUUCUAAUCUUAAACUCCAUCAUUACCAAUGAAAAAUUUCACUCACUGUUCUUUUCUUUAGUUGUUUAUUACCUAAGCAGUAAAUUGAGUUAAAUUGAUUUGGAUAUAUUCAGUCCACAAAAAUAGGAAUGUAACUGUAUUGGGGAACGAGUGUCAGUUCAGCAAUUUUGUUCUAAAUGUAUCAAAUUUAGUUUUGAUUUCAAGAUCAUUCACUGUUUAUUUAAUACAUUCUUUAGUUUCAUCCAGUUAACAGCCAUUUCUAAAGCUUAAAAAUGGUAACCAUUGAAUGGAGUUUGCAAAAAAACAAGUGUAAAAUGAACACACUAAGAAAGGGGGGAUACUUCCUGCAGGGUGCUCUAGAAAUGGAGGGCCAAUCCCUGAAGACAUCAAAUGGGAAAAAAAUAUCCAGGCCCACCUGAGGUUUCUUCUAAAAGGCAGUCUUUAUUUGAAAAAAGGAAGUGGAGACAAAGUUUCUGCUCCUCUCCGAGUCUUUAUCAAGUCUACUUGAUAAAGGCUCAGAGAGGAGACUAAACGUUGUCUCCACUUCCUUGUUUCAAAUAAAGACUGCCUUUUAGAAGAAAACUCAGGUAGGCCUGGAUAUUUCUUUUUUUUAACAUUGAAUAAAGUGACAGUUGCAGACAACUCUAUACUCUAUAACCAAUGCAAUGAAAUCAAAUUGUUAUAUUGCCUAUGGUGUCCCUUAAACCCCUUAAGGACACAUGACAUGUGUGACAUGUCAUGAUUACCUUUUAUUCCAGAAGUUUGGUCCUUAAGGGGUUAAAUAAUUAUGAUUAAAACUGCAUUUCACAAAAUAUGACCUUCAGGUGAAUACACAUUUAAUCUAUGUAUAGUGCUGGAUAAAUUCCUAGGAAAUGUAUACUAAAAAUGGUAUCUGAUAGUGGCUGAGUGCAUAUGGUGUUCCGUAUAAAGUGAUCGCAAGUUGCUGGGUUUUGGGUUUUUUGAGAAUUUAGCACUGAAAUUAAUCCUUCCUGUUUGGCCUCUUCUUUAAAAGGGCUUGGUAUAUAACUUUCAAUAAUGGUAGUUCUAACAUGUUAUCUGCCUUGAAUGACUUGCUAAUAACCUAAAACCUUUAAAAUUCAUCUAUCAUGACUAAGAUAGCUUGGUGUCCUAAAAUAUAUCUCUGUAUAUAUCAGACUAUAUAUAGGCUACUUUUUAUCAGUGGGGGUCUAAAUAUGGUAACACAGUUUAGAAACACGUGGGCAACCUUCAACUCCUAGCAUGUGCCUACAUACUCAAUCUAGACAAUGCAGGAUGGCUCCAUACAAUUAGGAAUCUUUAAAUCCAGGCACUAAUUUAUUCCUAGCAGGAUACUUUGAUAGGUGAGAAGGAAGUGAGAAGGAAGUGAUUCUCAGAUAAGUAUAUCUAUUAAUCUGUAUAUAUAUAUAUAUAUAUAUAUAUAUAUAUAUAUAUAUAUAUAUAUCCUGAUAACUUUAUGCUAGUGGUUUACCAAUUUUAAUCGAUGAAAAUUCUAAUCAUAUUUAAAAGCAAAAUGCUAAAUAGUCAAUAAGAUUAACCCCUUAAGGACACAUGACAUGUGUGACAUGUCAUGAUUCCCUUUUAUUUCAGAAGUUUGGUCCUUAAGGGGUUAAAUGCAAAUGCCAGCUAGUACCAAAUGCCACCAAGUAUGUUUGUUUUCUCAGAUGUUUCAUAGCAAAGACAUUUCACACCUCACUUUACAUGCUUUAAGAACUGUGCUGCUUUUUUACAUUUUCAAGGACAUUAAUUUUGACCUUUGGGUAGCAUUUGCAGGACUUAUUAUAGUUGAUGUUUAUUUCACUAUUGAACAAUUCAAUGUCUUCUUUAACUCAGAUGUAAUAGUCAGAUGUACUGUCUCAGUCUGUCUGUCUAUCUAUCUAUCUAUCUAUCUACACUGAACAAAAUUAUAAACGCAGCACUUUUGUUUUUGCCAGAUUUAUCAUGAGCUGAACUCAAAUAUCUAAGACUUUUUCUAUGUACACAAAAAGCCUAUUUCUCUCAAAUAUUGUUCACAAAUCUGUCAAAAUCUGUGUUAGUGAGCACUUCUCCUUUGCCAAGAUAAUUCAACCUCCUCACAGGUGUGGCAUAUCAAGAUGCUGAUUAGACAGCAUGAUUAUUGCACAGGUGUGCCUUAGGCUGGCCACAAUAAAGGCCAUUCUAAAAUGUGUAGUUUUAUCGCACAGCACAAUGUCGCAAGUUUUGAGGGAGAAUGCAACUGGCAUGCUGCAGGAAUGUCCACCACAGCUGUUGCCUGUGAACUGAAUGUUCAUUUCUCUACCAUAAGCCGCUUCAGAGAAUUUGACAGUACAUCCAACUGGCCUCACAACUGCAAACCACAUGUAGCCACACCAGCCCAGGACCUCCACACCCAGCAUCUUCACCUCCAAGAUCGUCUGAGACCAGCCACCUGAACAUCUGCUGCAACAAUCAGUUUGCAUAACCAACAGAUUUCUGCAUAAACUGUCAGAAACCAUCCCAGGGAAGCUCAUCUGCAUGCUCGUCGUCCUCAUUGGGCUCUCGACCUGACUGUACUUCGUCAUCAUAACCGACUUGAGUGGGCAAAUGCUCACAUUCGAUGACACUUUGGAGAGGAGUUCUCUUCACGGAUGAAUCCCGGUUUUCACUGUACAGGGCAGAUGGCAGACAGCGUGUAUUUCAUUGUGUGGGUUGUAUGUGUGAGCGGUUUGCUGAUGUCAACAUUGUGGAUCGAGUGGCCCAUGGUAUGGGCAGGCGUAUGUUAUGGACAACGAACACAGGUGCAUUUUAUUGAUGGCAUUUUGAAUGCAUAGAUAGAGAUCCUGAGGCCCAUUGUUGUGCCAUUCAUCCAAGACCAUCACCUCAUGUUGCAGCAUGAUAAUGCAGGUCCCCAUGUUGCAAGGAUCUGUACAAAAUUCCUGGAAGCUAAAAACAUCUCAGUUCUUGCAUGACCAGCAUACUCACCAGACAUAUCACCCAUUGAGCAUCUGGAUCAGCAUAUAGGACAGUGGGUACCAGAUCCUGCCAAUAUCCAGCAAGUUUGCAAAGCCAUUGAAGAGGAGUGGACCAACAUUCCACAGGCCAUAAUCAACAACCUGAUCAACACUAUGCAAGGGGAAAAGGUGAGGCAAAUGGUUGUCACACCAGAUACUGACUGGUUUUCGGACACCCCUGGAAUCCCCGUAAUACAGUAAAACUGCACAUUUUAAAGUGGCCUUUUAUUGUGGCCAGCCAAAGGCACACCUGUGCAAUAAUCAUGCUGUCUAUUCAGUAUCUUGAUAUGCCACACCUGUGAGGUGGGUGGAUUAUCUCGGCAAAGGAGAAGUGCUCACUAACACAGAUUUAAACGGAUUUGUGAACAAUAUUUGAGAGAAUUAGGCCUUUUGUGUAAAUAGAAAAAGUCUUAAAUCUUUGAGUUCAGCUCAUGAAAAAUGGGGGCAAAAACAAAAGUGCUGAGUUUAUAAUUUUGUUCAGUGUAUAUAUAUAUUUAUAUAUUGUGGUUCACUAAAGUUGAAUUGGCAGGAAUUGACUAGGGAAUAUUUGAGUCCAAAAUAGCCAGAGUAACGAAAAAAGUAGAUGGGUUGAAGAUUAUAUUUCUUUUGAGACCAAAAAAAUGUAAAUUCCUUUAACCCCUUAAGGCCCAAGUGUAACAAAUGGAGGAGCCUAACCUGUUUUAUGGGGACUUUGAUAUGCAUCAGUUCUGGACAUUUGAAGCAUUCAUCAUACGAAUGCAAACUACCGAACACCGUACCACCCUGCUCCCUAAUUAUAGGUAAUUUACCUCCCUGAUCCACAAGUGCCUUCGCAUAGAAAACCCACGAAUGCUUUGUGAAGUGCCUGGGUGGCCGCCAUUUCGGGACUUACACGUGUUCGCGGCCAUUUUAACUCCCGAACAGCGGUGUUUUGCCGUUGAGUGUCUGGAACUAACAUCGGACUCUCGAGGAGGCGAACACCGCUGAGACCUCCAUAGCACCGGGAAAUCGUGCUACAACUACCGAACAACAGGGCAUUUGGUAGAAAGACUUAAUAGCCUAUGGGGAUUCUGGCGAACGUCAGGUUACGCACGGAUGGUGUAUUGGUUAUGGGCAAUGAUAAAUGUUCUAUUAUUGUGUUCCCAUUCAUGUGCAAUAACUUAUGACACCUAUAGGGGGUGUAGUGAGCUAUGUGACAUUAAGAGCAAGAAGAUGGCUGCUGCAUAUUUAAUGAGACGUGCUUUAGGGAGGAAGUGACCUAUAGGUGGCCUAGUGAGCACUGUGACGUCGAGUGAAUAAAGAUGGCUGCCGCAUAGUCAAUGAGACAUGUGCUUUAGGAAGGUAUUGAAAAUUCUUAAGUCACUUCCUUUCACAAAGGACCACAUGUAGUAUCCGCCUCCUAGAGAUGACCAUUAGGUAUUGGUUAUGUUACCUCUGUGGGUGGAUACCAGAUGGGAGGUUAUUCAAGGGGUUUCCAGAAACUAGAGUUUCAGUUUCAUGACUGGGUCGGAAGAAGCCAGGUGUCUUUAGAGGUGCCCAUGUAAAUCCAUUUAACAUGUGGCAAGGAACUCACCUCAUUGUUCUGUGUGUUAUGCUGAUUCAAUUAUCCUGUGUAAGCUGCUGAAUCUCCAUGAAUAGAGCUAAGUAGAUUUCUUACCUGAAUGUAUUGUUUAUAGCAGUGUGUGUUUUUAAAGUAUUUGUUUCUUUUUUGUGUGCUUGAUAAUUGUAUUCCCAGUAAAGUUUUGUUUAUACUUUCAUCAAAACUUUGCCUCUUGUCUGUUCAUUCAAGAUAUUCACUAAUAUUUAUGUGAUUGACCAGUAUACCUUUUAUUAUUUUAUUUGUGGUAUUAUUUUAUAUUUAUGCAAUUCAGAACUUCAUAAAUAUAAAGAAAUUACUUAAUUUACCAUUACAGAUGGCAAGCUGUUUGGGACUUUUUACGCAUGAACAAAGACUUUUACUACGGUGUUCCCCCAGAAUAGGGCUAUCUGGGGACAUCGGAUUUAUGCAUGUACCCCAAGUAUUUGGGGUACAUCCAAAACUUGGGGAAAAAUGUGUUCUUGCUAAUUGUGUUAUAAAUUUAUCUGAGGGUAGGUGAUGUGUGGGAUGUACCUUAUGUUUAUUGGUUGUUUUGUUAAUUAUGUGGGUGUCUCCCUUGCAUGGGCAGAAUCACAUAAAAAGAGAGUGCCUGUCAUUAAAAGCCAGUUCUUCUUGACCCUUCAAAACGUAGCCUUGUUUCGUUCUUGAAAUGGAAUAUGCAGCAUAAUCACUUAGCUCUUUUUAGAGCUCUACCUGACUCCUGCCUUGGAUCCAGUGGAUGGGAAUAAGUGACUCCAUUACUAUACAGCGACUUGCCGGGAAGAAAAGGACUUCUCCAAUGGCUGAUACCCUCUUACUACCUGGGUAGCUGUUACACCAAGCUUCUGGAAUAAAAUGUAAUCAUGACAUGUCAGACAUGUCAUGUAUCCUUAAGGGGUUAACAUUGCCAUUUUCCAGUUUAUUAUAAAAUACCUCUAGAUAAUGAUCUAGGUAUGGACAGAAUUCAAAAGAUAAAUGGGAUUUAUGUAUGUAUUUAUUUUGUACCACAUUAAGUGCAAAAUAAAUUACAGAUCUAAUCAAUGUUUUGCUUUUCAGAUCCAGUAUAUCAGCUGUUUUUGUUCUAAAGCCAAACAUUAUAUGGACUAACAUAAAGAUUUAAAAGAGGAGUCACGGCAGAAAUGGGACAUGACCAAUAAAACUGGCACAUUUCAGUUUAAAGUGAUGUAUGUAUGAUUCAAAACAUGAUAAAAUCUUUCUAUUGGAAUGGAACGGUCAUCAAUAGCAGCUCCUUACAUAUAAGUCUGAUGAGCACUGGUUGACAACUUUUUCUUCCUUGCACCUUCGGAAGAAUUUGUUACCUUUUUACACAAUAGAUAUUAACUGGUGUGAAGGUAAGAAAAUAAAUCCAAAGCUCUGGCAUCAAAAAGCUAAGGCCCAUCCUUCUGUCUCUGUAUUUUACACUUAUGGUUGUUUUAAUAUGUUACAUCUUCAUUGUCAACUGGCUAAUCUUAUUGCAUUAUAACUGUUGAAUAAAAAAUAAAUAAAAAAAUAUUAUUUUAAAUUAUUCUCUCAACAUAAAGAAUACCUCGUAAUGUAGAUAUGCCAACACAUUUCUAAUUUGCCAAAUAGAUUUCUCACAAGGAAGGAGCAUACCACAUGGUGAGCAGACUUUGCAGGAGAUAGCUGCAUUCUUAAAACUGCUUAUGUCACUAUUGCUAUUAUCAAGUGGUAUGUAGGGUAAUUUCAACUUAUCUAUUUAACCCAAUACAGAAACAUGCUCCUUUAACCAUCAGAUGAUACAAUGCUAAUUAUGCUAAAGUAAGGCCUUUCAUAUUAUCUGAAAUUAGAGCCUAACAUUAAGCUGAAUAGCUCGAAAGGUUUGAAUUCCCAAAAUGUGUAUUCCAUAUGACAAUAAAUAUUUUUUUUAUUUACUGUAAGGACUCAUUGUAAUAUCAGUAUUGCAUGUGAAUAGUCAAACGAGUUCUCCUUUCUAUUCCAUGAAAAGCUAGGCAGAGGAUUUUGUAAAUAGGUUAAAUUAUAUUUAAAUACAUUUUUGCAAGUCAGUACAACCACGUCAUGAAAUACCUGAACGAGGCUAGUCACCCCUUUUGUUAGGUGUCUAUACUGAAAUCACAAGGAACCAUAAAUUGUAGAAAUAUUGCAUGUGAGGCAAGAAACAGACUGGAUUUUUGUAAAAGCUUUGUUCCAUGCUGCCAAAAAUCAUUUAACCUCCUACAUUUCUCGUACUGUAAGUAUUCAGUCAUCCAUGUGUUAGAAAUGGGAGAAGUCCCCUGUGUACACUAUGCAACAAUUAUUUUCUCAUAUCUGCAUUGAGACUCAUCAGAGAGAUACCAGAGGGACAAUAUGUGGUGUUGAAAUUUUAAUCAGAUGACAUUGCAGACUCCUGCAAUCAAGAGUCAAAGCAAUAAUCCAUCUGCGUUCUUAUGACAUAAUACUUAUUGAGCCGGUCCUGCCAUCAGGGAUAAAGGAGUAUGCUGCCAUUGUAAAAUCAGGUGAUCCUACAAUGCAUAUAUAACUUAGCCAAGCCUAUGAGUUUAACCUAGGCCAUCAGGUGGCUAUGACAAUGAUGGAACACCUCAUUAUAAUUACCAAUAUGGAUACCGCAACCAGGCUUGAGGUUGGCCAAUCCUCACAAUGAGAUUUGAAAAAAGGUAAGGAUGGUCCAGGCAUUCAAGUUCAAUCCUGUGGGCAGAUUUAUUUGAGCAAAAUAGAGUAACAGCUUGACAAAGGCCCUGUUGUGGGCCAAAACAUUGUUUUAAUUCUUCUCCAAUAAAUCUGCCCACUGGAUUGAACUUGAGUGCCUGGACAAUCCUUACUUUUUUGGAAAGCCUCAUUAGUCACAGUGCAGGCUGUCACGUGGUUGUGUAAUAAAUUGCCAUGAACAGCAGAGCCUUAAAAAGAAGGUUUCUAGACCAAUAAAAAGUGAGGUUAAAGUACGUUGUGAACUGAAAUAGUGUACUUCUUGUUAUUGGACAUGGACAUCAUUACACUGUACUUGUCAUGGUAAUCUAAUGCUUUUCAGUAUUUAAUGCAGUAGGAGGCAGCUCAGCUAAAGGGUUGUGUACAAAUUCCCAUACUGUUAUAAUGGGAACUGCUUACCUUCUUGUUUAUCGUCAAUUUCUGGUUGAUAUGUUGCAGUAUUCCACUAUUUUGAUAUCUACAGAGCUCUUCAUGUCCAAAACAGCACUAUGCAUAGAUAGCGUUGUAACCAGAUCAUUGAAACUAGCCUGUGAUGUGUGGCCCUUGUAGGAUAUAGGUGUAUUAAGAAAAUUGGAGUUUUACGUUGAUACCAUAAGGCUACCAGAGCGAGAGAGAGACAGAGGUCAGUUAAUCACAUAACAAAGCAAUGCUAGUCAUUUUAUGAUGACAAAAUAAAUUUAUUUUUGGACUGGGGGUCACAUAAUAAAAAUAUAACUUACCCCAAAUUAACUUAAGACCCCCAAAUCAUUUAUUCUAAAGACAGUAAACCCAUCUAUCAACCAAACGUAUUUUAGUGUAUCCCAUUAGUAGAUUAUGAUAGCAUAAUAAUCCAAACACAUAAAAAAGUGGUUUAGUGACGUGUUAAAUAUGUGUGCCUUGAUACUAUCUCCUUUAGAUGAGUGAUCUUUGCUCUUCCUCACACCUGAAAGCUUUGCAGUUUUAGUGUUUUAAGAACACUUGUGCGAAAGGUUUGACAGCAAAGCACUCUGCAAAGGAGAGGCAAACUUGAUAGAAAUUUUUUAGGAAACCCUCUAUGUCAAAGGGAUCAAUUAACUGCACGUUGAUCCCUUAAUUCAGCAAAAUAAAAAAAAAAUGAUAAUUACAAUAUAAACAAGUUGGACAAUAGCUCAGCUAUUUUUAGCUUACAUUUUGAGAAAUUCAGUGUUCAGUUCACCAAAAUUCAGUACAUUUCUAGGUUUUAUUUUCCACAUUGUACAUUGCAUGUAUUCUCAAUUUUUAAGUUUUUCUAGCAAGUUAUGAGACUUCAAACAAAGUCAAUUGCAAUAAAAAAACGAUUUUGCAGCAUGUUUACCAAGACCUUUGACUGGUAGUCUGUUGUAGCAAUUUCAAGGAUGAUUUCUCUAACUAAAUUUCCAAUUUUCAUUCAACAUUCCAUUGCUUCUCUAUUUAAACAUUCUUGGAUGUUUUGUGUGUAUUUAUAGAAAACAAUGCACUGCUUUUGCAGCAUUAUUUCAUCUUCUCAUUAAGUUAUUUAUAUUGACUUUAUGAUGUAUGCAUUCCUUACAAACAAGAUGAAGUCAAAAUGUGCAAAACUAUUUUUUUCUAUCAUACAAGCACUGAUUGAGCUGAAAAAUUAAAUGUAUACUCAGGAAGUAUUCACAACUCUUGGUUUUUUUCACAUCAGCCACCACUCAAUAUCUUAUAAUGACAUAUAUAUAUAAAAAAAAAAAAAAAGAUUUUUGAAAAAAUAAAAUAUCACAUUAAUAGAAAUAUUCAGACCCUUUGCUGAGAAUCUUGAAGUUUAGCUCAGAUGCUUCCAAUUUCUCUGGGUCGUCUUUGAGUUGUUUCUACACUUCGAUUGGACAUGUUACAAAUUCAAUUUAUUGAACAUGAUUUGAAAAGGCACACAUCUAUCUAUAUAAGGUCUCACAGCUGUAGAUGCACAUCAGAGCAAAAAACAAAAAACAAACCAGGAGGUCAAAGGACACUGCCUGCAGAGCUCAGAGGCAGGACUAUGUUGAGGCACAGAUCUAGAGAAAUGUAAGAUUACCUGUAUGUGGCUGCACCACACAGUGUGCAUCAUUCUCACACCCAUACUGAAGCCAUGCCUCAAUCUGGUAUAAUUUCUAUUGCUUGACACUCUGUACUCACAUUUAUUUAUUUAUAAAAUAUUUUACCAGGAAAGAUACAUUGAGAUUUAUCUCAUUUUCAAGUAUGUCCUGGGUACCACAAAUCAGUUUAACCCCUUAAGGACCAAACUUCUGGAAUAAAAGGGAAUCAUGACAUAUCACACAUGUCAUGUGUCCUUAAGGGGUUAAAGGGUUUCUACCAUGCACCAAAUCCUGCAUAAUUCCUACUACAAAGUCUUCACACAUAUUGGGUGCACAGGAAUGACGCAGAACAUCCAUAGGUAUAAAUACUUCAGUCCAUCAUAUGUUCUUUUCCCUGUUAUGGUUACUUCCUGGUCCCAGUAGAGAGUUCCAAGUGUGAAAAAGAGGAUGUCUGAUGAGUGUAAUUAACGCAGAGCAGGCUAUGGUGUCAGGUUUUUCUCUUCUGCUGCUGCACAAUAAUGUCCUUUUUCUUUCAUUAGUAGACUAGUCUGAAAUUGAGAUGGGUGGAUAAGAGGGAGGAGACUGAAGAAACUCUCAUAGCUGAGAGGCGUGCCCAACAAUGCAAUCUGACUAAGUUUAUAAAUGUUUAUUACCUACUAUUCACAUUUUUCUUGUUAUAUUUUGGUUUGUAUAUUUGUGUAAACAUUUUGCAGGUUUAGAAAAAAAUGUCCUUUAGACACAACUAUGUGAUUGUCCUAAGUGGUCCAGCCAGAGUACGGACCUGAACCUAAUCAAACAACUCUGCAGGGACAGAACUGAAAAUGACUGUCCACUGACAGUCUCCAUUCAUCCUUUCAGAUCUUGAGAGGAUCUGCAGAAAUCAAUGGAAGAAGCAAUUCAAAGGUGUAUGCAAAAUUUGUUGCAUUAUACCCAAAAAGGCUUGAGACUAUUAUCACUAGCUUAGAUGCUUCAAUUAACCCCUUCAGACUGGAGGGCAUACAAUUACGCCCUAUUUUAGGCGGCUCUAAACGCCGCCGGGCGUAAUUGUACGCCCUCCGUUUUUUGUUUACUUACCCGGUGCUCCCCCCCGCGGCAGAUCCUCCUCCUCCGGUGACCCCCGGCCAUGUGAGAGUGAGGUCCUUGCGAGGACCCCACAAUCACAUGGCCGGGUAGGCUGCCUCCUGCAUUGCCAGCAGGGGGGCUGCCUGUAAUGACAGGUGGUCUCUCUGCUGGCUGAAAAUAAAAUUAAAAUAAAAUUUAUUAGUGUAAAAAAAUAUAUAUAUACUUAGAUCAUAUAUAUAUAUAUACUAUAUAUAUAUAUGAUCUAAGUAUAUAUAUACACAUAUACAUACACACACAUACACUGUCUAGGUGUAUUUUACUAUUAAUAUAUAUAUAUAUAUAAUUAUAUAUAUAUAUAUAUAUAUUAAUAUCAAAUUACACGUAGACUGAUACUGAUUAAAUAUAUAUAUAAUUAUUGUUAUAUAUAUAUUUAUAUAUAAUAUAAAAAAAUUAAAUAUGUAAAUAUGUUAAAAAAUAAAAUUAAAAUAAUAAUUAAAACAUUUUUUUUUAAAUAUAUAGAUGUGUGUUAUUUCGUUCUAACUGUAUUGUGAUAUUAAUAUAUAUAUAUUUAUAUCAAAAUACAUGUAGAACAAAAUAAUAUAUAUCUACAUACAUAAAUAUAUACGUAUAUAUCACUAUAUAUAUACACCUAUAUAUAAAUAAAAAUAUUUUAAAAAAAUUAUAUAGAUAUACACAUAUAGAUUCACAUAUGUAUUUAUAUACAUAUAUUAAUUCUACAUAUAUAUUUAUGAAAUAUGUUUACAUAAUUAGGUAUCUUAAUUAAUUACAAUUAGCGGGACCUGCCUGACAACCCAUGCCGAAAGUAAAGGGAAUUUAAUUUGCUAGCACUAUAUUUAACCCUAUAACUUUUCAAGACAGCAUAAAACCUGUACAUGGGGGGUACUGUUCUACUCAGGAGACGUCGCUGAACACAAAUAUUAGUGUUUCAAAACAGUAAGAUUUAUUACAAUGAUGAUAUCGCCAGUAAAAGUGACGUUUUUUGCAUUUUUCAUGCACAAACAGCACUUACACGGACGAUAUUAUUGCUGUGAUACUUUUUACUGUUUUGAAACACAAAUAUUUGUGUUCAGCGAAGUCUCCCGAGUACAACAGUACCCCUCAUGUACAGGUUUUAUGGUGUUUUCAAAAGUUACAGCGUUAAAUAUAAGGCUUGUGUUUCAUUUUUUUCACAUUAAAAUUCGCCAGAUUGGUUACGUUGCCUUUGAGACCCUAUGGUAGCCCAAGAAUGAAAAUUACCCCUAUGAUGGCAUACCAUUUGCAAUAGUAGACAACCCAAGGUAUUGCAAACGGGGUAUGUCCAGUCUUUUUUAGUAGCCACUUAGUCACAAACACUGGCCAAAAUUGGCGUUUUUGCAUUUUUCACACAAACAAAUACUAACGCUAACUUUGGCCAGUGUUUGUGACCAAAUGGCUACUAAAAAAGACUAGACAUACCCCAUUUGCAAUACCUUGGGUUGUCUACUAUUGCAAAUGGUAUGCCAUUAUGGGUGUAAAUUUCAUUCCUGGACUACUAUAAAGUCCCAAAGGCAACGUAACCAAUCUGGCGAAUUUCAAUUUCAAAUGUAACAUGCUAUAUUUGACCCUGUAACUUCCCAAAACGCCAUAAAACCUGUACAUAGGGGGUACUGUUUUACACGUGAGACUUUGCUGAAUACAAAUAUGUGUAUUUUAUUGCAGUAAAAGCAAACAGUAUUAUGACAUUGACAGUUAAAAUGUCAUGUAGAACUAAAAAAAAUUUAAAAAUUCUUAUUUUCUCCCAUUGUUUUCAUAUUAAAUUAUGUUUCAUAGCUAAAUAUGAUAUUAAAUGAAAGCCCUGUUUCCCCUGAAUAAAAUGAUAUAUAAUAAGGGUGGGUGCAUUUAAUAUGAAAGAGGUGAAUUAUGGUUGGACAGACAUGUAGAGCAAAUGCCAGGUUUUGUCUACAUUUUGUUUCGUUCACAACGUGUACAUUUGGCUCAGUCCUUAAGGGGUUAAGGGUCUGAAAACAUAUGUCAGUGUGAUAUUUUUGCUUUGUGAUUCUUGGGUGUUGAGUUUAGAUUGGUGCAAAAAAUAAUAAUUUAAACAAUUGUAGCAUGAGCCUGCAACACUAAAAAAAUUGAUUAAAGAAAAAGGUAGGAAUCGGAAUGCUUGCUGAAUGCUCUAUAUUAUUUUUCAAUAUGAAUAACAAAAUAGGUUACUAUGCAUGCAAAAUAGUCAAGCAUUGGGAGUCUUGCACCUGAUAACUCAUCCGUUACAAUAUUUAACUUUGACAAAUAUUAGACAGCUUUGAUAAAACAUGAUGGCUUGUGAUAAUGGUGGAAAACAACAGUCUAGAUUUCCAGAGCCUGGGUUGCAUUUUAUUUUUUAGAGGAAUUAUGUAAAACAUUAAACAGACUUGGUUCCAAACACAUUUAUUUAGCAAAUAGUCUACCUUCUUCUCUAGAAUAGAUGCCAAUGCAUUUUCCUGCUUUUAGGCACAGCACUAUUGCCUUCCAGGAGUCAGUCCAGAACAUACAUGACUUUCUAAUAGCUACUGAGCUAUCACUGUCCCUAUUUUAUGGAACUCAGUAACAUAUUCCUGAAUUACAUCUGCUCCCAUUAUCACUACCCUACUGAUCAUUAGCCCUCAGCCUGCUCAAUAUAUGCUUUAGUGGUUUUACUUCCUAUCUUGACUAUCCGACCCUCACAUGAUAAAUGGAAAUCACAUGAAUUACAUAGAAAUCAAUUCACUGAGCAAAAGGCAUACAUAGUUUGAACCAUAUAAUUAUUAUUACACAUUUCAAUAAUAAUAAAAAAUAUUCUUUCAUUUAUAAAUUGUUACAUUUUGAAAAUGGGUUCUAUUUGUAAGACAGAAAAAGACUCAUAAAGAAUAGUGUUAAACAUUCUUCUGACAAAUUGCUGCUCGCGCUAAUCCUUUUUAUAUCCUUAGUAUCUAAACAUUAUUUUAGCACACACUCUAAACUAUAACUAUUUACUCUUUUAAUUUUCUAAACUUCUUACAUGAUACAUUUCCUUCUGUCUAUUCCAAGGGUAGGCAAAUUUUGGAACUCCAGAUGUUGUGGACUACAUCUCCCCUGAUGUUUGUCAGUAUAAUGGCUGUAAGAGCAUUAUGGUAGUAGCAGACUUGUGCACAUCAUAAAAAUUAAAUUUCUAACAAAGCAUUUUGUACAAAAAAAUUUUUGUUUGGGUGACCAAAAUCCGUCUUUCAGCUUGGACAACUUUCAUCCAUGCAAUUGUUUUAGGAAAAACAGUUCUGACAAACCAGAAGGAGCAAGAAUUGGUAACCAGCGCAAAAUGUUUUACUGCUCCUGCUUUUUCACCUCUAUUGGUUACUUCUCCCUUCAUCUGUGAAUAAAUUCAAUAUUUACUGACUGUCCACCAAAUAUCUUUUUUGCUAUUAAUCAGUUUUUGGUGCCACGGUUGUUCCAGAACAACAAAUCAUAAUAAACUGUUUGUCUGUUGUCCAUUUUGGUAGUUUCAUCAUAAGUCCAUACAAUUAGUGUAAAACUGAAUGCACAACUCUAUUCUAAAGUUCUAGAGACAGGUUCUGGGAUUUCUUGCAUUACAUCAUGACUGUAGUGCUGAAAGGAAGCUAUUGCAUCAUAAUGAGUCACUGUGAAUCUGGAUUAUAUGGGGAAGAGCAAGGGGACCAUUUCAGGUAUCAGGGAAUGCAAAGACAACUUGCUAUGCUUGCAACAGAUCAAUUAUGUGUGAUCUUUGGAUAUUUACAAAGGAUGCACUGUGCAUUUUAGUGCCCCUAUAGUAUUUAGGCUCCUGGGUACAUCUGGUGGCUACUGCUCAUAAAUUGUGUAGCACUGGUCUCACUUAACAUUUUUUUUCAAAUGGACAUUCACAAUAACCCUUUUUAGGUGCAGAGAUAUCAUGUCAAAUUAAAACAAAUUAGGGAAUGACCAGGUGGUGACACUAAGUAAGAUUUAUUUUUUGAGACUUGAGCACACCCAGUUUUGAACUGAAGAUGAAAACACAAAGAGUAUAGUGUAUAUCCUUAUCUCCACCUACACCCCAGUUAAUUACAAAAAAACUGUGAUAUACAAAAAAAACAGACAGGGUUGGUGUGGUGUGCUAUGCAAACAUUUUGUUAGAGUCACCAACUAAGUGGUAUAAAUACACUGGUAUUGGGUCCACCGGAAUGUACUGGUAUUAUAAUAAUACCAGUUGGGAACAGAAAUUCCAGCUUUAAUAACUUUAAGAAACAUAAAAAUAUAACAUAGUGUAAAACCGUGCAAUAUAACAAUAUAAAAUAAGAUAAUUAUUGCACUCACAAGCACUCUGCCACUAAAAGUGGCCAGAAGAUCACAUAGGUAGGUCAAAUGGACCUCCAAAAUGGAACUCCAAAAUGUUCUUGGUCAGAUUAGUCUUUCCACCUCACCCCUGGGUUGCGGAUCCCAAGGAGUAUAGGAAAAGAAGUCACUGAUGUCUAGAUAAGAUAGGAGGGUGUCUCGAUAGAAGUAGGUGAAAAUCUCAGAAUGCUCCAAAAUAUGUCCGACUGGUUUCGUCCUCAGGACUUUCUCAAGGAAGAGCUUGGGUGUAAUCCCCGCCAUUGCGGUUUAUAAACCCAGCGAAUCAAUGUUUAGUAGGUUCAACACGUGUAUUAUAUCCUAUCAGGUGAGUCUAAUAUAUAGAUUAUUAAUCCCACCCAAAAGAUGGCCACCAAAAUCAGAUACGGCAACUAAUAUAGGAAGCCGUUUGGUAAAAACAUCCGGGCUAAUUUCCCAGUGUCUGUACCAAUAUUUUAUCUCCCAAGCAGACCAUCAGAUAGGGAGAAAGUGAUAUUAAACAAACAAAUCGCCAGUAUCUAUAUCGGUGAUCCUAUUACAUACACACAAAAAAUGGACGUGGAAGUACCCAGCGAUGACCCAAAAGGUUGCGCAUGAGCAAUAACUUAGUAAAUAUUCUCAACAAGUUUAUGACUUUCGCAUUCAUCAAUACAACCACAUAAAAUUGGUAAAACCUAGAUGUGUGGAUAAAUCAGCUGUUAAAAGGUGUGUUAAAAAUAUAUAUAUAUAAAAAAUAUAUUAAAAAUAUACAGUGGUAACAGCUGAUUCAGCCAAACAUUAGUAUCAUGAAUGAUCACAGAUAAAAACAUAUAUACAGGCAUUCAUAAAAUACUGGAUUCCUAUGGUGACUAUAAAUUCAUUUGUAAUGCAGAUAUUUAUAAAAUCAUACAAUACAAAUAUUGAUAUAAUAGUUGUUCAAAUAAGCACACAGCAUAUUGUAACCCCAAAAAAGGGGGGAGAUAAGGAAGGAAUUUUUUUUUUUUAUAAAAUCACAGAAAAACACAAAAUAAUCCAUAAAAAAUCUUAUUAUAGGGUUGAAGUGAUAAUCCAGGGGAACUUGCAUUAAGAAUGCAUUAAAACAAGUGAGCUCAACUUCAGCCUUAAAAGUCCCAUUAAAAUGUAUACAUAUGUAAGUCAGAUACGUCAGUGAUAUAAAACAGAUAUACCACAAUGUUUCUAUCCCACCACUGAUGAAUUUAGAAUAUAUGUUUAAAAUAUAAUAUAUACAUUUUAUGAGCCUGUUAUGAUUUGACAAUGUUUUUCUAAGACCCAACACUCAAUCAAAUCUAAAAAAGUAAUGAACUAACCAAUUUGUUUCAUAAGUCAGUAUCAGUAAUGUAUUAUAGUCCUGCUUUAUAUAAAAGCUCAGUACUGGAGGAUGCAUGUAGUGGGUUUUCCCCAGCGCUGUAUGAGUAAUUAUAUAGUUAUUUCCAAUACAUGUCCGUUUACCACAUAAAACCAUAUGGAUGAAUUCUAAAAGAAUAAUCCUCUAAUAGUACUGCAACGCUAAAUAGCAAAAUAAGUUAUUGACCAGUCUUAAGGUUUCCCUUCUACACCUUAAACAUGUUUUACAUUUUUAAAGCUAACACUUCUUAAUCUGUCUAGAAGUCCCCUCGAACUUCCUACUUAGUGGUUAUGCAAUUAGUAUUGGUUCUGGUGUCACGUAUUGUGAGAAAAUAUUGUGAUUGUCUUUACUUUACAGAUAUAUGUGGAUGUGACUGUCAUGCAUUUGUAAAGCACAGGGAGGUAUGUGUAAAAUUUGCUGAUAUAACAGAUAAGUGCUGCAUUAAUGAUGUAUAGACGCUAUCUGGUUUAUGGAAUUGAGUACAACAUAUGUCAUAUGUCAACAUAUGGAUGGUAAGUGUGCUUUAUGAGUGAUGUAUGGAAUGGAUAAUGUGCGGUAAACCAGUUUAAUUUAGUGAUAUACUGUGUUGUUUGGUUGAUGGAUAGCAUCUUCAUAUUUUAUUAUAGAUUGCCUGAUUUCUGAAGCAUGCUACAGCAGAUGAUCCAGUAUUGUAAAUGUUUAACAAACCCACCAAUGUUUCCACAGUACCCACAAGAUUUAUUUACCCCAUAACACUAAUGUAUAGAAAUAAUCAUUUCUUUCCCCAUACCUUGCCCAGCUCAUGUCAAUAGAGAAAUAUCCACCCUUCUUCCAGCCAAAUACUGACAACUGUUGGAAAAAUUGAAAAAAGUGUAAGUUUGUAUGUUUUUCAUCUUCUUCAGGUAUACCAAGAAUUCUAUGGAUUUUCCAUUUAAAUACUGGAUCUUUAAGGCUGUACAUGAAUUUCCAGAUGAGGAAGUGGUGUUUAAGUUUAACCCAUACGCUGCAUGGUACUGUUCCCAUCUGUUAUGGAGUUCUAAGCAUUACAAACUGUACCUACUACUGUAGCGCAAACAUUCCAAUUUUUUUUUUUUUUUUUAUGUGGGCCUACCUUUUUCCUACUCUCUACUACAAGGUAAUAUGAAAGAUGUUCCAGGUUAACACUUUGUGAUAGUUCAUAGGUAUGCCCAUGUUAAUUCUUAAUAAUAUACUCAUUUUUAAACUCUUUACUUUUGCUACGUUUUCUAAUAAUAAAGAAGAACCUAUUACAGAGCCCUCCAUUUUGUUGUAUUCAGAAUAUUUUUACAAAAACAUAUUUUGUGAGGCGAGAAUAUCUUUUGUGAGGCACGUACAUCUAAUUAAGGAGCGGAGCACAGGUUAUAUUUAUGAAACCCUACACCGAGCACUCAGUAUAUGUCACAUGUAACCUGAGUGAAAUAAUCAUGCACACUAUGUACUUGACAUCAUGCAUACCGAUUACAUACAUUUAAAUAAACACAUUACUCACAGAAAAUAGAGUACAUUUACCAGAAGAUAAAGUGUUGGCUAUAUGUUGCAGUUUUACCACUUUCUGAAAAUAUCAGUGGUAUAUAAAGUAAAUCUUAUAAUCCCUUGACAUGUAUUGACAUGGGCAUCAUAUCUGUAUUUGUCAGGAAAUGUUUUUCAUAAAUUGCAUAUUGUUAGCAUGAAUACACUUAUCUUUAGUAUAAAAAUAUGAUGAUUGUAAUUAUAAGGUAAUUUCACUAGAAAUAUUUUUGUAGACUAAAGAAAAUUAUUUUUAGCAAUCUCUCUUUUUUUUAAACAUAACCAACAACAACAACAACAAAAAAAACCCCACACACAUCCAUAAUCCUUCCACAUGUGUUGUUUAUUGGAUAUUAUAAACAUUCUAUUUUUAAAAUUCCUUUCCGCAGUCUUUCACGUUACAUUAAUGUACUCCAUAAGAAAGCCAUCUCUUCUCUAGGAGUUUGCCAUAGAGGUUAACUGUAUAACAGCUAAUUGCUAGAACUUUGGGAAUAAUCUUACGUGUAAGUGCUAUGCCCCUAUUCUGAUUUGUCUCUACAAUUUUAGGUUGUUUGCCAAAAUACACUUUGUACACUAAUAGAAAAGGAACAGGAUGACCCAAUUAUGCUGAUGUAAAUUAAACCCUUUGCUCAAACUCCCAUUACUCCUCGGUGUCAGCAAUGACCAUAGUACACGUCAACCCCAACAUGUACAAUUAAAACCAAAGUAAAAAGUUACUUUCACACUAUCCAAAUCCCUGUGCACAUUUAAGAGGUUUUUUUAGUAUCACUCCAAUUGCCAUUGAAGUGUAAGCUCACCUGGCACAUCAAGGUAAAACUCUUAGGUGCGUCCUACACUAACAAUUCACCUGACUGUCUUCAACUGUAAACUUAGUAGUAGUUUGGGGCUUGACAGGUGCCCUUUAAGGUUGUAAAUGUGACAAUUCCUAAUGUUCACAUGGGAGUUGUUUUAAAAUUCACCCUCUAAAUUUUCAUUUAUAUAUAUAUAUAUAUAUAUAUAUAUAUACAGCCAAAAGUGCAAGAUAGCACUCCAGGGACUUCCAAGUAGAAUGAAUAAAACUUAGCUUUUAUUAGCUCAAAAUAAAAAUCAACGUUACAGUCUGUAUCACAGACUUUCAUUAGGAUGAGUAUGAGUAAUUAUAGGAUGAAAGUCUGUGAUACAGACUGAAACGUUGAUUUUUAUUUUGAGCUAAUAAAAGCUAAGUUUUAUUCAUUCAACUUGGAAGUCCCUGGAGUGCUAUCUUGUACUUUUGGCUGUAUCUGUUUGCUGAUAAGCACCGGGCAAGUACAUCAAGGAAGGUGGAGUGCAUUACUAUUUUUGUUUUAUAUAUAUAUAUGUGUGUGUGUGUGUGUGUGUGUGUGUGUGUAAUACACUACACACAUUAUUGUUCAUUUUUCUUAUUUUUUCAAAUGUUCUUGUGUAAUAAAAAAUAACUUUGAAUAUCCCUAGUAUAAUAAUGACUGUUUCAAUUAAUGAUUAUUCAAAUUUGUAAAAAUGAAAAGAUUGAAGGAUGGAAUCACAUUGGAAUCCAUUUAAAUGCAACCAAUAGCUUAUAUACUUAUAUAAUUUAGAAGGAAAGAUGCAAUUACAUUAAUCUUUAGAACAGUGCUGCACUAUGCUUCACUAUGCAUAACUACGUGCAUAGAGUUUUUGUACCAUUAUUGUACAAUGUAUAGAGAUUGUAAAAAGUGAUGUGUACUUUUUACUAUUGGUUAGUAUACCAAACGUGUGGAAGGUAACUAAUGCUGUAUAACUGAAGCUAAUAAUGCCCCUCCUUAAGGUUUUAAUAAUGAAAGCGUCUGGAUGUAUACUAAUAAUACCUGGCAGAGAAAUCCUACAAAGUUCAAUGGUUUAUCUGAUGUUUUUGCAAUCAGCUCCUGUAAAAUCUAUUGCUUUCAAGCAAUUAUCUUGCUAUAAUUUGUUAAAUCUCAACAGCACACUGCUCCAGCAGUCUUGGGAACACCCCACUAAUCUUUGCCUGAAAAUACAUGAACACAGAGCAGUUCUGACGCUCGAGCUGCCUGAGGACUGUGGAAGUAAUCGAAGUGAGGGAGGCGACCAAUUCCCCACUCUGCAUUUGACUCCAGCGCUCAUCUGGGCCCUGCUUUUCAACCUUCACAAUGGUUGUGAUUAUCCUGGACUGCAUUGAAGGGAUUUUAUUAGCUCUUCUGAGCAUCGCUGUUACCUGGUCCUAUUCUCCACACAAGGCCUCGUUAUUAAGAUGGCUACCACUCAGGGAGACAGAGAGGGGCAUAUUUCUCACCAGUCCUUGACAAUGUUGAAGACCUUACGAGCUCUGUAUACGAUGUUAGGUUACACUACAUAAACACUCUGCUAAAGCCUUAUUAAGCCUCAGAUUCUGAAAUCCAAGCUGACAACUCUGCACUCAUUAUCUCAGAUACCUCCGGUCCAUUACCACAUUUCUGGGCCGAGUACAUUUAGGGCAUCAUCACCCCAGUGCAUCUUGCACACCUGAAUGGUCUCGGAUCACCCUUUUGGAGACACAGAUUAUGGUGCAACAUGUGGUCAGAUCAGCAGGAAAUGUACAUGGGCUCUAUAUGUAGCCUAGGGCAGGUGGAAGGGACUUUACUUUGGGGCUGAGGCAGUUUUGGGAAGUGAAUGCCCAAGCAUUGGGAAUUGGAUGAAGAUGAUAAAGCCUGUAAGCUCUGCACUGUGUAGUUUGAUUUUCUUUAGCACUUAUUUUUAGCAAUAUAAUUUCAGUUUCGCUUACUUUAAUAACAAAGUAAAAUUCCUAUUCCAGAGAUUCUGGGUGGAGGGACUCUGUCCCAGUGAUAUUUGUUCUCAUUAAAUAUAACAAUUACACACAGGUUUACAAAACUAGGGAGUUAUCAGAUAAACUGAUGAAGGAGCAAAAUUAAGAGAAGCCCCAUUCUCAAUUUUGCACUUUCAGUUGUUUAAUUGGCACCACGUAUCCUUAAUUAUAGCAAUCUUAUGUAAGGAUAACAGAUUAGGGAAUUAUCUACUAAACAGGUGGAAGAUCAGCAUUAAGAAAAUACCUUUUCUCAGUUUCGCUCUUUCAGUUGUUUAGUAGAUAACUCUUUCAUUUGCAAUCAUUAUUAUAUAACAAAUACAUUUAAAAAAAAUGGUUAUUACUUUGUUUUGUUUUCGGUUGAUUCUGAAAUUUGGAUGCUUCUGAAUUGUAUAAUUCAGCAGCAUUCAAACAAAAUGUAAUUUACUCCAAAACAAAUUGCACAUAUUAUGUCUGCAUAUUAUGAACACUGCAAUACAGAGUGACCCUCUAAAUAUCAUACUAAUUAAUGAAAUGUUGAUUAAACUUAACUAAAGCACAAAUAAUAUCUAUAAGCACAUAGGGAACCAAUGUUUUCGAAUGUGCAAAAAGUCAUAAAUAAAUUAAGGGCAUUUAUUUCCAUGAAGGGUAUAUUUUCCUCUGAUUUCCUAGAACAAGUCAGAUGCCGAACUUACGAGUACUUUCCAUUUUCAUGGCAUGUAAAAACCUCAACAUAUGCAGUUAAGCAGAAACAGGACUAUGAAUCUAUGAAUGUUCAUGUGCGUAUUUUUCAAGCAAACACAUGGUUAUGUGAUAAUAAAGUUUUGUAAUAUGAAACUGUGAAUUUACCUCCACUUUAAGCUAUCACUUCCAUUUCAUUUUGGAAAAGCAAAACAAAGAUGUUUGAACUAAUAUUCUUGAAGGACAGGAAAAGUGCCGGAUCUGUAUGUGACGUGUGGAAUGAGAUUUAUGAAUAGUGUGCUAAAUAUAUAAAGUAAUGUAGAGAUUGUUUUUUUCAUUUGUUUUCUAAAGGGAUACUAAAAUGGUGUAUAGAUCAUUGCCCUGUAGUUUCACUACUCAAUUCUCUGCCAUUUAGGAGUUAAAUCGAUUUAAUGCACACCCUCCAUGUAUGUGACAUACACAGCCAUAUUAAACACUUCCUGUAAAAAGAGUUCUAAUGUUUAAACAUCCUUUAUUUCACAGUCUAUUUAAUUUAGAAUUUUAUCCCCUGCUCUGUUAGUAGCCUCCAAGAGCUUGCAGAAGCCUCCUGUGUGUGAUUAUCAUUAAUUAGUGAGUUACGAGUAAAGUAAGUGAAAAUCAGAUUAAAAAUGAAACUAUUUUUUUCAUGUAUGCUGUGUGUCUCACAGCCAGGUGAGGUGUAACUAGAAACACAAGUAAUUUAAACUGACGCUAUAGUCAACAGAACAUUUACAGCUUAAUGUAGUAGUUUUGAUGACUAUAGCAUGACCCUGCAGGCUCAGCAAUGUAAAUGCUACCAAUUCAGAGUAAAGGAAGCUUAUACAUUGUUUAGUAACACCUAUAGAUGUGGUCACUCAGAUGGCUCCAAGCGUCCUAUUUCAGUGCUACAUUGUGUGCAGCACUUGUGUUUAGCAUCUUCAUGAAUACUCCUCUGAAUGAUCCCCAUAGAGAUGCACUGAUUCAAUGCAUCUCUUUAAGGAGAUGCUGAUUGGCGCAUUGGCUGAUGUGCAAUAUCCUCCCAAUGCUUUCCUAUGGGAAAAUUCCUGCUAUUUAAAAUUCCUGCUGCUGUUGCACUCAUCCAGGACAAGGGAAUUGAUCCACUAUGAGAAAGACGGUCCAUCAAUAAAGUACCUCUCAUUCUGUUUAUUGGGGCCUGAUAUUUCAUAUUUACCCCCAAACAGCAGUUACACUUAUCUGAUAAGAUGAAUAGAAUUACUGAAUAUGUUAAUAUCAGCCAUACUAGACAAUAAAGGUAUGGGCAUAUAUCUUCAAAUAUAUUUUUGUUGUCAAAUGAGAAAGCAAAGGUUCUUUUUUUUACAGGAACACGCACAGGGAUCUCCUUGCUAAUGCAAUACUUCGUAAUCUAGCCCUUAAGGCACAACAACAAUCUAGAAUUUAGGUUUUUCCCAAUUAUAUCCCCAUGGAGACCCCCCAAAAAAUCUAAAUGGUUAGUAUGGAUUGAGAACAUGGUUGGCAAGCACUGCCAUAAACUCUGCAAUGAGCUUAGGUUGUUAUGGUUCAUGCAGUAUCCCUUUAAAUACAAGAAAGUUUAGAUCAGCAAGGAAUGAACAUGUGUGUGCUUUUCAAGUCUGUGCCAAGUGAAGUCGGACACAGCCACUAAUGUAAACCAGAUGCAGUUCCAAGUUUUAACCUAAAUUUGCAUUAAACCAACCAUGCAAAUGUCAGGUUUACUCAAGUUUCUUAAGCCCAGAACAAAGAGAAAAAGAGACCUCGGUUAACAUACUCAUGUAAUCAUUCUUGUAACCAUGAUAUUGGCUAUAUACUUUUCACAAACAAACAGAUAAGCAAAGGCAAUUGAAAAGAAAAUAUAGAUUAGGAAGUGUGUUACAAUUUAACAGCUAAUUUCAGUAGUCUAGCAAAAUAUUUUCUUUAAUUGCAGUUUGGUAAUUUAAAUUAAUCUCUGCUAUGAAACAUAUAAUGGUUUUACUACGUAUAAACUUUAUUUUCCUUAUUACAAAUUCUAAAUGUCAUAGGGAAAUCAUAAUAUUUAAUUUUUGCACAGAUGAGUGCCAUGUAUAUUUCUGCUAAUGAAGUAGAUGUUAAGUAAUGAAAAAGUACAAUACUAACUUUAGUGUUUCAAAUUUUUUUUUUUGGCAUAUUUAUUAAUGGAUAACACCACUUUUCUGUUAUAUUUUCCAUCUGCAGAAAACCUUUGGAUCGUGUUCAGAAUGUAGCAUAGAAGGCAAUGGCCGUGUGCAGCUUAUCUGAUGCUGGAAGGUAAACAGAAAUUGAUGUUGAAUACCCAGGGAAUCCACUUUGAACUAGGACUACAAGGACUGCAACUACCCAGCAGGCAUUUCCACCGCUCAUGAUUGAGGCCGGUCCAAGCAGCUUAGGCUUCCUAGCAGCUGCUUUUGAAAUCUAAUAUUUCCGAAGCAGGAAGCAGAGAAGGAAGUAAGGAAUCAGUAGAGCAAAGGUGGCAAAAAAGCAGUGACUGGUAAUGUGUGGUGAUUGAGAAAUAUGUAUUUUCUAACAGUACACAACUAUAAAAAAAACAAACGGAUGAAAAAAUAAUAAAUUCAAG